rnacentral:rRNA from 1 species
AUUGAACGCUGGCGGCAGGCUUAACACAUGCAAGUCGAGCGGAGAUGAGGUGCUUGCACCUUAUCUUAGCGGCGGACGGGUGAGUAAUGCUUAGGAAUCUGCCUAUUAGUGGGGGACAACAUUCCGAAAGGAAUGCUAAUACCGCAUACGCCCUACGGGGGAAAGCAGGGGAUCUUCGGACCUUGCGCUAAUAGAUGAGCCUAAGUCGGAUUAGCUAGUUGGUGGGGUAAGGGCCUACCAAGGCGACGAUCUGUAGCGGGUCUGAGAGGAUGAUCCGCCACACUGGGACUGAGCCACGGCCCAGACUCCUACGGGAGGCAGCAGUGGGGAAUAUUGGACAAUGGGCGGAAGCCUGAUCCAGCCAUGCCGCGUGUGUGAAGAAGGCCUUUUGGUUGUAAAGCACUUUAAGCGAGGAGGAGGCUACCUGGAUUAAUACUCUAGGAUAGUGGACGUUACUCGCAGAAUAAGCACCGGCUAACUCUGUGCCAGCCGCCGCGGUAAUAC